GUAACACGUGACUAACCUACCCUUGAGUGGGGGAUAACCUAGAGAAAUCUGGGCUAAUACCGCAUAAUACCUUCGGGUCAAAGGAGCAAUUCGCUUAAGGAGGGGGUCGCGGCCGAUUAGUUAGUUGGCGGGGUAAUGGCCCACCAAGACUAUGAUCGGUAUCCGGCCUGAGAGGGCGCACGGACACACUGGAACUGAAACACGGUCCAGACUCCUACGGGAGGCAGCAGUGGGGAAUUUUGCGCAAUGGGGGAAACCCUGACGCAGCAACGCCGCGUGGAGGAUGAAGUCCCUUGGGACGUAAACUCCUUUCGAUCGGGACGAUUAUGACGGUACCGGAAGAAGAAGCCCCGGCUAACUUCGUGCCAGCAGCCGCGGUAAUACGAGGGGGGCGAGCGUUGUUCGGAAUUAUUGGGCGUAAAGGGUGCGUAGCGGUUUGGUAAGUCUUGUGUGAAAUCUUCGGGCUCAACUCGAAGUCUGCUGAGAAACUGCCGGGCUUGAGUAUGGGAGAGGUGAGUGGAAUUCCCGGUGUAGCGGUGAAAUGCGUAGAU
rnacentral:rRNA from 1 species